AUGAGGGCGAUGAUGUAUAAAUUACCUAUUUUAUGAGGGGGAGAACAAAUCUUUCCUAGUGAUGCAAAAAACCAAUGGAUCCUACUGAGCCUUUG
rfam:Picea glauca, whole genome shotgun sequence.